rnacentral:tRNA from 1 species
GCCUGGGUGGCUUGGUCGGUUAAGCGUCUGACUUUGGCUCAGGUCAUGAUCUCACAGUCCGUGAGUUCGAGCCCCGCGUCGGGCU